rnacentral:misc_RNA from 1 species
GAAAGAGACUAAGAUGUGGGAGGUAGAAGAAAGAGACUAGGGAAGAGGGAAGGAAAAGAACAAGGAAAGGCUGCCCAUUAAAAAUUUCCAAUAUUCAGUGAAAUCUUUAUGCUACUGAUAUCAUCCUUUCUUAAGUACCAUUUUCUAUAUGUAUAUGCACUUGAAGAAAACCUUGAACAAAUGAAAUUCCAUAAAUAAAUGAGGUAAGUUACAAUGAUGAAAUCCCUAAGUUUAUUGCAGUUACUUGUAGUGACUAAAAAAAAAAUUGUAUUUUUUAAUUUUUGACAAUUUUAUCCCAAUUGCUAAAUUUAGUUCCAAU